UUUACUAAGUGGUAGGAGAGCGUUCUAUUUGCGUCGAAGGUAUACCGGUAAGGAGUGCUGGAGCGAAUAGAAGUGAGCAUGCAGGCAUGAGUAGCGAUAAUUAAUGUGAGAAUCAUUAACGCCGUAAACCCAAGGUUUCCUACGCGAUGCUCGUCAUCGUAGGGUUAGUCGGGUCCUAAGUCGAGUCCGAAAGGGGUAGACGAUGGCAAAUUGGUUAAUAUUCCAAUACCAACAUUAGUGUGCGAUGGAAGGACGCUUAGGGCUAAGGGGGCUAGCGGAUGGAAGUGCUAGUCUAAGGUCGUAGGAGGUUAUACAGGCAAAUCCGUAUAACAAUACUCCGAGAACUGAAAGGCUUUUUGAAGUCUUCGGAUGGAUAGAAGAACCCCUGAUGCCGUCGAGCCAAGAAAAGUUUCUAAGUUUAGCUAAUGUUGCCCGUACCGUAAACCGACACAGGUGGGUGGGAUGAGUAUUCUAAGGCGCGUGGAAGAACUCUCUUUAAGGAACUCUGCAAAAUAGCACCGUAUCUUCGGUAUAAGGUGUGGUUAGCUUUGUAUUAGGAUUUACUCCGAAAGCAAGGAAACUUACAACAAAGAGUCCCUCCCGACUGUUUACCAAAAACACAGCACUCUGCUAACUCGUAAGAGGAUGUAUAGGGUGUGACGCCUGCCCGGUGCUCGAAGGUUAAUUGAUGGGGUUAGCAUUAGCGAAGCUCUUGAUCGAAGCCCGAGUAAACGGCGGCCGUAACUAUAACGGUCCUAAGGUAGCGAAAUUCCUUGUCGGUUAAAUACCGACCUGCAUGAAUGGCGUAACGAGAUGGGAGCUGUCUCAAAGAGGGAUCCAGUGAAAUUGUAGUGGAGGUGAAAAUUCCUCCUACCCGCGGCAAGACGGAAAGACCCCGUGGACCUUUACUACAGCUUGACACUGCUACUUGGAUAAGAAUGUGCAGGAUAGGUGGGAGGCUUUGAGUAUAUGACGCCAGUUGUAUAUGAGCCAUUGUUGAGAUACCACUCUUUCUUAUUUGGGUAGCUAACCAGCUUGAGUUAUCCUCAAGUGGGACAAUGUCUGGUGGGUAGUUUGACUGGGGCGGUCGCCUCCCAAAUAAUAACGGAGGCUUACAAAGGUUGGCUCAGAACGGUUGGAAAUCGUUCGUAGAGUAUAAAGGUAUAAGCCAGCUUAACUGCAAGACAUACAAGUCAAGCAGAGACGAAAGUCGGUCUUAGUGAUCCGGUGGUUCUGUGUGGAAGGGCCAUCGCUCAAAGGAUAAAAGGUACCCCGGGGAUAACAGGCUGAUCUCCCCCAAGAGCUCACAUCGACGGGGAGGUUUGGCACCUCGAUGUCGGCUCAUCGCAUCCUGGGGCUGGAGCAGGUCCCAAGGGUAUGGCUGUUCGCCAUUUAAAGCGGUACGCGAGCUGGGUUCAGAACGUCGUGAGACAGUUCGGUCCCUAUCUGCCGUGGGCGUAAGAAGAUUGAAGAGAUUUGACCCUAGUACGAGAGGACCGGGUUGAACAAACCACUGGUGUAGCUGUUGUUCUGCCAAGAGCAUCGCAGCGUAGCUAAGUUUGGAAAGGAUAAACGCUGAAAGCAUCUAAGCGUGAAGCCAACUCUAAGAUGAAUCUUCUCUAAGCUCUCUAGAAGACUACUAGUUUGAUAGGCUGGGUGUGUAAUGGAUGAAAGUCCUUUAGCUGACCAGUACUAAUAGA
rnacentral:rRNA from 1 species